rnacentral:lncRNA from 1 species
UCACUGUGUUAGCACGACACACCCACGUUCACAGCAGCAUAGAUCACAUGACUCAGUCACUGCCGUGCUGGGCAUGAAGGCCAAGGCCCUGAACUGCAGGCCCCUGCAUUGACUCUGGGACUGAGAGGCGGUGGCGCCUUCCCAACACCCGUCACCCCGGCAACCACACUGGACCGUGUCGUCAGCACGCUGCCGGGGCCCUGAGCCUGCCCAGCCUCACACAGCUUCCCACCACACAAACCCACGGAGCGGAGCAUGGCGGGAUUCCUGCUCGGGAGGCGAUGCUGGCCGUACAGGCAGCUCCUCCAUUUCGCUGUCUGGAGAUUCUAACUGCAGUUCGCCUUUCUCUGUAGGUCACAUACGUGCUUCUGUGCACUCACCAGCGGCAUUUAUAUUGUCGUAUAAAUGUAUAUAUAGAUCAUUUUAUUCAAGCAAUAAGCAGGGGCUCACUAGAUUGCUACGUUACCCAGUUGGAGAGUUUCCAGCAACACCAGAAGAAGUCAUCUAAGAAUUGAAACUGGCUGCCCCUGGUGGGGAGAGCUGAUAGCAGGCAGCGGGCAGCCUGUCUGCAGGCAUGCAUUUCACGAGAAAAAUAAUUUCAAAGGAGAAAGGAAACAAUGAUUAAUCACAUGACUGAAUUUUAAACUAUGCAUCUACAAUAAAAAUUAACACUCAAAGUACAGUGUCA